AUGAAACUGAUGAGGGGGAGAGAAGCUGCCAGCGGGGAUAUAGUGCAAGCCAAGGGGAAAGAAAGCAGCUUCCCCUCUAAAGUCUUUCUCCCUCUGUAUGCAACCCUCCUCUUCCCUCUCCAGAGGAGAAGAACACAAAGAUCAUCUGUCUGGGUUACAGCAGAAGCAGCUCAGUGGACCAUGGGCUGUGUGGUCGCCGGGAAGGCAUGGAAGCCCUUGACCACCCACCUCCAGGAGAGGCACCCAUGUCCCAAAGUCCAACCAGCUCCCCUCCAGAGUAGCCUUGGGCAAUACUACUUUUAUUGGAUCAUGGAAACAGCAAAAAACGGGGGAUUUUCUUUGAAAGAAAUGACCUUUCUCACUCUGGGUGUGGAGGAAAUGAAAAUCCUAAGAACCGCUUGGCCAGCCCCGGGUGAUUCUGCAUCCUUGAUAUUAUUGACAUGGGCUCAUUUUGCACCAUUAAUUUUUUAUACUGGGCUGUUUCGUAUCAUUUCUAUGGGUCCUGACUUCUUCUAUAGAUUGGUGUCGACGCCGCCUGUGGGGUCCCUAUUUAUGUCGGCUUCUUCGGCAUCCAUAGUAUAUAGACUGACAGAAAGGGUCGGCGUUGCUGCCUCGUCGAGGAGGGGCUGGUUCUGCAUCUUUUUUUUUCCACUGACCCUCCCGGGCAGCCUUUCCUCUCUCUCUCCGGGCUCAAGGGCCCCCCUCCCCGCCCAAAAAAGCAGCAGCCAGGCCAGGCCAGGCCAGGCCCCGCCGCCUUCCUCCUCCUCCUUCCUCCUUCCUCCUCAGAGGAGCCCGUUCGGCCCGCAACCGAGCCUUCCUGGCGGCGGCCUUCGGGCCUCUCUUUCUCCUCCCGCCUCUCGAGGCUCCCUUUCCGGCGCGGCCUCUUUAAGGCGCGGCCUGGUCGGGCCCGGCGCGGCCUCCUCCUCCUCCUCGCAGGCGGGGAGGGGGGGGAGGGAGGGAGGGCGGCCCGGCCCGCCCCCCUCCCCCUCCUCGCAGGCGGGAAGGGAGGGAAGGGAGGAAGGGCGGAAGAGGGUCGGGUCCCGGCAGCCGCCGCCGCCAUGGCGCCCCAGCCUCUCCCUCUCCCACCGCCUCCUCCUCCUCCUCCGUCCUCGUCGUCGUCGCUGCAGCCGCUGA
rnacentral:lncRNA from 1 species